rnacentral:rRNA from 1 species
CUCCGGUUGAUCCUGCCCGGACCCGACUGCUAUCAGAGUGAGAUUAAGCCAUGCGAGUUAACGUAGCAAUACGUGGCGCACGGCUCAGUAACACGUAGUCAACAUGCCCAGAGGACGUGGAUAACCUCGGGAAACUGAGUCUAAACCGCGAUAAGUGAGGAUUUCUGGAAUGGUUCCUGACUAAAAUCUAUAUGGCCCCUGGAUUGGACUGCGGCCGAUCAGGCUGUUGGUGAGGUAAUGGCCCACCAAACCUGUAACCGGUACGGGCUCUGAGAGGAGGAGCCCGGAGAUGGGCACUGAGACAAGGGCCCAGGCCCUAUGGGGCGCAGCAGGCGCGAAACCUCUGCAAUAGGCGAAAGCCUGACAGGGUUACUCUGAGUGACUUUCGCUAAGAAAGUCUUUUGGCACCUCUAAAAAGGGUGCAGAAUAAGGGGUGGGCAAGUCUGGUGUCAGCCGCCGCGGUAGUACCAGCACCCCGAGUGGUCGGGACGAUUAUUGGGCCUAAAGCAUCCGUAGCCGGUUCUGCAAGUCCCCCGUUAAAUCCAGCUGCUCAACAGAUGGGCCGCGGAGGAUACUACAGAGCUAGGAGGCAGGAGAGGCAAGCGGUACUCAGUGGGUAGGGGUAAAAUCCGUUGAUCCAUUGAAGACCACCAGUGGCGAAGGCGGCUUGCCAGAAUGCGCUCGACGGUGAGGGAUGAAAGCUGGGGGAGCAAACCGGAUUAGAUACCCGGGUAGUCCCAGCCGUAAACGAUGCAGACUCGGUGAUGGGUUGGCUUCGCGCUAACCCAGUGCCGCAGGGAAGCCGUUAAGUCUGCCACGGGGGUAGUACGGUCGCAAGACUGAAACUAAAGGAAUUGGCGGGGGAGCA